rnacentral:rRNA from 1 species
UAAUACGGAGGGUGCGAGCGUUAAUCGGAAUUACUGGGCGUAAAGCGUACGCAGGCGGUUUGUUAAGCGAGAUGUGAAAGCCCCGGGCUCAACCUGGGAACUGCAUUUCGAACUGGCAAACUAGAGUAUGAUAGAGGGUGGUAGAAUUUCAGGUGUAGCGGUGAAAUGCGUAGAGAUCUGAAGGAAUACCGAUGGCGAAGGCAGCCACCUGGGUCAAUACUGACGCUCAUGUACGAAAGCGUGGGGAGCAAACGGGAUUAGAUACCCCGGUAGUCCACGCCGUAAACGAUGUCUACUAGGAGCUGGAGUCUUCGGACGACUUUUCCAAAGCUAACGCAUUAAGUAGACCGCCUGGGGAGUACGGCCGCAAGGUUAAAACUCAAAUGAAUUGACGGGGGCCCGCACAAGCGGUGGAGCAUGUGGUUUAAUUCGAUGCAACGCGAAGAACCUUACCUACACUUGACAUACAGAGAACUUACCAGAGAUGGUUUGGUGCCUUCGGGAACUCUGAUACAGGUGCUGCAUGGCUGUCGUCAGCUCGUGUUGUGAGAUGUUGGGUUAAGUCCCGCAACGAGCGCAACCCCUAUCCUUAGUUGCCAGCGAUUCGGUCGGGAACUCUAAGGAGACUGCCGGUGAUAAACCGGAGGAAGGUGGGGACGACGUCAAGUCAUCAUGGCCCUUACGUGUAGGGCUACACACGUGCUACAAUGGCGUAUACAGAGUGCUGCGAACUUGCGAGAGUAAGCGAAUCACUUAAAGUACGUCGUAGUCCGGAUUGGAGUCUGCAACUCGACUCCAUGAGGUCGGAAUCGCUAGUAAUCGCGGAUCAGAAUGCCGCGGUGAAUACGUUCCCGGGCCUUGUACACACCGCCCGUCACACCAUGGGAGUGGGUUGCUCCAGAAGUAGGUAGCUUAACCUUAGGGAGGGCGCUUACCACGGAGUGAUUCAUGACUGGGGUGAAGUCGUAACAAGGUAGCCG